rnacentral:rRNA from 1 species
AAUCAACGCUGGCGGCGUGCCUCAGACAUGCAAGUCGAACGAUUAAGACUUCCUUCGGGAAGUGUAUAAAGUGGCGCACGGGUGAGUAACACGUAAGUAAUCUACCCUCGAGUGGGGAAUAACGUUCGGAAACGAACGCUAAUACCGCAUAAUGCAGCGGCAUCGCAAGAUGACAGUUGUUAAAGGAGUAAUUCGCUUGAGGAGGAGCUUGCGGCAGAUUAGCUAGUUGGUAAGGUAACGGCUUACCAAGGCUACGAUCUGUAUCCGGUCUAAGAGGACGGUCGGACACACUGACACUGAAUAACGGGUCAGACUCCUACGGGAGGCAGCAGUCGGGAAUUUUGGGCAAUGGGCGAAAGCCUGACCCAGCAACGCCGCGUGAAGGAUGAAGUAUUUCGGUAUGUAAACUUCGAAAGAAUGGGAAGAAUAAAUGACGGUACCAUUUAUAAGCUCCGGCUAACUACGUGCCAGCAGCCGCCGCUGUAA